rnacentral:rRNA from 1 species
AUUGAACGCUGGCGGCAGGCCUAACACAUGCAAGUCGAACGGUAACAGGAAGCAGCUUGCUGCUUUGCUGACGAGUGGCGGACGGGUGAGUAAUGUCUGGGAAACUGCUUGAUGGAGGGGGAUAACUACUGGAAACGGUAGCUAAUACCGCAUAACGUCGCAAGACCAAAGAGGGGGACCUUCGGGCCUCUUGCCAUCGGAUGUGCCCAGAUGGGAUUAGCUAGUAGGUGGGGUAAAGGCUCACCUAGGCGACGAUCCCUAGCUGGUCUGAGAGGAUGACCAGCCACACUGGAACUGAGACACGGUCCAGACUCCUACGGGAGGCAGCAGUGGGGAAUAUUGCACAAUGGGCGCAAGCCUGAUGCAGCCAUGCCGCGUGUAUGAAGAAGGCCUUCGGGUUGUAAAGUACUUUCAGCGGGGAGGAAGGGAGUAAAGUUAAUACCUUUGCUCAUUGACGUUACCCGCAGAAGAAGCACCGGCUAACUCCGUG